rnacentral:rRNA from 1 species
GAUGAACGCUGGCGGCGUGCCUAAUACAUGCAAGUCGAGCGAACGGACGAGAAGCUUGCUUCUCUGAUGUUAGCGGCGGACGGGUGAGUAACACGUGGAUAACCUACCUAUAAGACUGGGAUAACUUCGGGAAACCGGAGCUAAUACCGGAUAAUAUUUUGAACCGCAUGGUUCAAAAGUGAAAGACGGUCUUGCUGUCACUUAUAGAUGGAUCCGCGCUGCAUUAACUAGUUGGUAAGGUAACGGCUUACCAAGGCAACGAUGCAUAGCCGACCUGAGAGGGUGAUCGGCCACACUGGAACUGAGACACGGUCCAGACUCCUACGGGAGGCAGCAGUAGGGAAUCUUCCGCAAUGGGCGAAAGCCUGACGGAGCAACGCCGCGUGAGUGAUGAAGGUCUUCGGAUCGUAAAACUCUGUUAUUAGGGAAGAACAUAUGUGUAAGUAACUGUGCACAUCUUGACGGUACCUAAUCAGAAAGCCACGGCUAACUACGUGCCAGCAGCCGCGGUAAUACGUAGGUGGCAAGCGUUAUCCGGAAUUAUUGGGCGUAAAGCGCGCGUAGGCGGUUUUUUAAGUCUGAUGUGAAAGCCCACGGCUCAACCGUGGAGGGUCAUUGGAAACUGGAAAACUUGAGUGCAGAAGAGGAAAGUGGAAUUCCAUGUGUAGCGGUGAAAUGCGCAGAGAUAUGGAGGAACACCAGUGGCGAAGGCGACUUUCUGGUCUGUAACUGACGCUGACGUGCGAAAGCGUGGGGAUCAAACAGGAUUAGAUACCCUGGUAGUCCACGCCGUAAACGAUGAGUGCUAAGUGUUAGGGGGUUUCCGCCCCUUAGUGCUGCAGCUAACGCAUUAAGCACUCCGCCUGGGGAGUACGACCGCAAGGUUGAAACUCAAAGGAAUUGACGGGGACCCGCACAAGCGGUGGAGCAUGUGGUUUAAUUCGAAGCAACGCGAAGAACCUUACCAAAUCUUGACAUCCUUUGACAACUCUAGAGAUAGAGCCUUCCCCUUCGGGGGGGCAAAGUGACAGGUGGUGCAUGGUUGUCGUCAGCUCGUGUCGUGAGAUGUUGGGUUAAGUCCCGCAACGAGCGCAACCCUUAAGCUUAGUUGCCAUCAUUAAGUUGGGCACUCUAAGUUGACUGCCGGUGACAAACCGGAGGAAGGUGGGGAUGACGUCAAAUCAUCAUGCCCCUUAUGAUUUGGGCUACACACGUGCUACAAUGGACAAUACAAAGGGCAGCGAAACCGCGAGGUCAAGCAAAUCCCAUAAAGUUGUUCUCAGUUCGGAUUGUAGUCUGCAACUCGACUACAUGAAGCUGGAAUCGCUAGUAAUCGUAGAUCAGCAUGCUACGGUGAAUACGUUCCCGGGUCU